rnacentral:rRNA from 1 species
UACGUAGGGACCGAGCGUUGUCCGGAUUCAUUGGGCGUAAAGAGCUCGUAGGCGGCUGCUCAAGUCGAAUGUGAAAACUCGAGGCUCAACCUCGAGCCUGCAUUCGAUACUGGGCGGCUAGAGUCUGGUAGGGGGAUCUGGAAUUCCUGGUGUAGCGGUGGAAUGCGCAGAUAUCAGGAGGAACACCGGUGGCGAAGGCGGGAUCCUGGGCCAGUACUGACGCUGAGACGCGAAAGCGUGGGGAGCGAACAGG